GUCUAUGGCAAUGCCAUCCUGAACGUUCCUGAUCUUGUCUGAUCUUGGAAGAUAAGCAAGGCCUGGUUAGUACUUGGAUGGGAGACCACCUAGGAAUACCAGGUGCUGUAGGCA
rnacentral:rRNA from 1 species